GAUGAACGCUGGCGGCGUGCCUAAUACAUGCAAGUCGAGCGAACGGACGAGAAGCUUGCUUCUAUGAUGUUAGCGGCGGACGGGUGAGUAACACGUGGAUAACCUACCUAUAAGACUGGGAUAACUUCGGGAAACCGGAGCUAAUACCGGAUGAUAUUUUGAACUGCAUGGUUCAAAAGUGAAAGACGGUCUUGCUGUCACUUAUAGAUGGAUCCGCGCUGCAUUAGCUAGUUGGUAAGGUAACGGCUUACCCAGGCAACGAUGCAUAGACGACCUGAGAGGGUGAUCGGCCACACUGGAACUGAGACACGUUCCAGACUCCUACGGGAGGCAGCAGUAGGGAAUCUUCCGCAAUGGGCGAAAGCCUGACGGAGCAACGCCGCGUGAGUGAUGAAGGUCUUCUGAUCGUAAAACUCUGUUAUUAGGGAAGUACAUAUGUGUAAGUAACUGUGCACAUCUUGACGGUACCUAAUCAGAAAGCCACGGCUAACUCCGUG
rnacentral:rRNA from 1 species